rnacentral:rRNA from 1 species
UACGUAGGGGGCAAGCGUUGUCCGGAAUUAUUGGGCGUAAAGAGCGUGUAGGCGGCCAGGUAGGUCGGUUGUGAAAACUGGAGGCUCAACCUUCAGAGGUCGACCGAAACCAUCUGGCUAGAGUCCGGGAGAGGAGAGUGGAAUUCCUGGUGUAGCGGUGAAAUGCGCAGAUAUCAGGAAGAACACCGGUGGCGAAGGCGGCCUUCUGGACAGUGACUGACGCUGAGACGCGAAAGCGUGGGUAGCAAACAGG